AUUGAACGCUGGCGGCAUGCUUUACACAUGCAAGUCGAACGGUAACAGGGUGCUUGCACCGCUGACGAGUGGCGAACGGGUGAGUAAUACAUCGGAAUGUACCCAGUAAUGGGGGAUAACGCUUCGAAAGGAGUGCUAAUACCGCAUACGCCCUGAGGGGGAAAGUGGGGGACCGCAAGGCCUCACGCUAUUGGAGCAGCCGAUGGCGUAUUAGCUAGUUGGUGAGGUAAAGGCUCACCAAGGCGACGAUCAGUAGCUGGUCUGAGAGGACGAUCAGCCACACUGGGACUGAGACACGGCCCAGACUCCUACGGGAGGCAGCAGUGGGGAAUUUUGGACAAUGGGCGAAAGCCUGAUCCAGCAAUGCCGCGUGUGUGAAGAAGGCCUUCGGGUUGUAAAGCACUUUUGUCCGGAAAGAAAUGCCUCUGGUUAAUACCUGGGGUCGAUGCUGGUACCGGAAGAAUAAGGACCGGCUAACUACGUGCCAGCAGCCGCAGUAACAC
rnacentral:rRNA from 1 species